CCUACGGUGGGCAGCAGUGGGGAAUUUUGGACAAUGGGCGAAAGCCUGAUCCAGCAAUGCCGCGUGUGUGAUGAAGGCCUUCGGGUUGUAAAGCACUUUUGGCGGGAACGAAAAGGACUGUGCCAAUACCACGGUUCGAUGACGGUACCCGCAGAAUAAGCACCGGCUAACUACGUGCCAGCAGCCGCGGUAAUACGUAGGGUGCAAGCGUUAAUCGGAAUUACUGGGCGUAAAGAGUGCGCAGGCGGUUUUGCAAGACCGAUGUGAAAUCCCCGGGCUUAACCUGGGAACUGCAUUGGUGACUGCAAGGCUAGAGUGUGUCAGAGGGAGGUGGAAUUCCGCAUGUAGCAGUGAAAUGCGUAGAUAUGCGGAGGAACACCGAUGGCGAAGGCAGCCUCCUGGGAUAACACUGACGCUCAUGCACGAAAGCGUGGGGAGCAAACAGGAUUAGAUACCCCAGUAGUC
rnacentral:rRNA from 1 species